AGAUGAGACUCAGUAUGGUUUGAGCGUUGGAUUACAAAUCUGGAGACCAGGGUUCGAUUCCCAGCUUGGCCA